UACGUAGGGUGCGAGCGUUGUCCGGAAUUAUUGGGCGUAAAGAGCUCGUAGGCGGUCUGUCGCGUCGGUCGUGAAAUCCCUCGGCUUAACCGGGGAACUGCGUCUGAUACUGGAUGGCUUGAGUUUGGGAGAGGGAUGCGGAAUUCCAGGUGUAGCGGUGAAAUGCGUAGAUAUCUGGAGGAACACCGGUGGCGAAGGCGGCAUCCUGGACCAACACUGACGCUGAGUGAGCGAAAGCCAGGGGAGCAAACGGG
rnacentral:rRNA from 1 species